UUCUUUAAGUUUUUGGCCAUUUUAAUUGUAAAAAACCAACGCGUUUAUAUAAAUAAGACCGCUGUGUAAAAUAUGAUUUCACCCUUCUACUAAAAUCCUUCUUCCCGCACUCAAAAAGAAUCUAGAAAAGCCAGCAAAGUAAGAAGUCCAAAUUGCACGCGGUCCCUGAUGAAGUCCCUGGCAGACCAGGUUUCCCUGCUGGCCCAGGUGUCUCACAGGAGCUCAACAACACUUUUGAGAAGUCGCUCUACACCACAGCCAUGCUGCUGAUCUGGUGGAGGUGGUGUGAAAGGUUCCUGUGGCCCGGGCUGGGAGAAGGGGACAGGGAGAUUGGGUGAUUCUCGUGCCAAAGCCAGGGCUGUGAACUGCUGGUCCGGUAAGAUGUGGUGGACGGAUGGGCCCCAGAUCAAGCUGGGGGGGGGGGGAGGAAAGGGAACUCCUUCUCCAAGGAGAGAGUUGCCCUGUGUCUUAUGAGAGGAGUCAUGAGGGUAACUUCAUCUUCAGCUCACUCCACACGGCCACUAACAACAAGGGCUAUAGACACUUUCUGGGGCAGAAGGACUUCAGGGCUGCUGGGAUGGAAGGUGGAGCCUGUCCACUUCAAGGAGAGUCAGUGGCUCAGGAAACCGGUACACAAGGACAAAAGAAAAGACUCGACUCUCCUCACAAGAGUCAGGCUCUGCCAAGGGGAGCCUGGGGAGCCCCCCCAGCCCAGAGGACAGGCAGGAGAGCUGCGGGGAUUUGGUGGGGGGCGGUCAGGAGCACUUCCACACGCACACGGCCAGGGUUCCCCCGAAGAACAGGUACAGGAGGUUCUUCACCUCGUGGGUGAUCUCAAACCCAAAACCUUCGCCGAUGACCACAUGCCAGCAGGAGCCGAACUUCUUGUCCAUCGUCUCCUUGAUCAUCUUUGCCGCACUCUCGUUGUUGUUGGAGAAUUUCUCACAGGCUGUGACACAAAGCUCCAUGGUCUCCAUUCGCAUCUCCUCCGGCAUGUCCGAGUGCUUGACCAGGGGGAAGGUCUGCAGCCGCUUAUAGUCAGCCUCCUCUUUCUUCCCUUCAGUCUCUCCCAUGAUCCUCCCGGCGUGCCCUCAGGAGGAGAGCAGGGCUUUCAGGAGGUGCUGAGCCCAGCAGUCACAGCGUCCGAAACAGGCCUUGCCAACUUGGCUGGAGCAGAAAAUGUCUUUUCCCCAAGGGGUACUGCUCCCUCGGGGGCCGGGUCUGAGGCCGCUGCCAGCGCACCCCUGCCAGGGUUGUCAAGAAC
ensembl:lncRNA